rnacentral:rRNA from 1 species
CAGCAGCCACGGUAAAACGUAGGGUGCAAGCGUUAAUCGGAAUUACUGGGCGUAAAGCGUGCGCAGGCGGUUAUAUAAGACAGAUGUGAAAUCCCCGGGCUCAACCUGGGAACUGCAUUUGUGACUGUAUAGCUAGAGUACGGCAGAGGGGGAUGGAAUUCCGCGUGUAGCAGUGAAAUGCGUAGAUAUGCGGAGGAACACCGAUGGCGAAGGCAAUCCCCUGGGCCUGUACUGACGCUCAUGCACGAAAGCGUGGGGAGCAAACAGGAUUAGAUACCCGAGUAGUCCCUGUCUCUUAUAA